UGUCAUAUUUGACAGUAAAUGGGGCUCCCCAGGCCAUUUCCGUUCCUCGUAAGUUCCUCUAUUAGUAGCAUGUGAACUUUACACUUACAGCUAUAAAAUGGAAGAAUAUACGUGGCCUUUUGCUAGCUUCAAUUUAUUGCAGCAUUAAAAUAGCAGAAUAUUCAAUCUCUCAGAUUGUACGACUGGUAUUAAGCCUACGCCAACAUCCGCAGAGAUGUUGAGAUGUCCACAAGUGUCUGCAAAGAAAACCACCUUGCACAGAUGGGCGGAAGGAAUAAAAUUGCCUAAUAUACCUGUUGACAUGAAGGACUGUAGAUUAGCUAAAGCGAAUGAGACUUUACGCGAACAGGUCAACGAAAGUUCCAGCGCCAAUUGCUUCACAUUAGGUGGACUGCGGCUAAUCGCUUGGGCAAUAACAACAUGGAUUUGCCUGUUAACAAAUUUCUACUUUGCUCAAGUGUUAGAGUAGAACUAGGCGAGUCUCCAGAGCGAGGCGAGCUGUCCCCCAGCAAAGAAGCGAAGAUGCUUCGAAACACAUCCUGCUGUAUUUCCUGCAUGACCUUUUCACGCAUCGACUCAACUUGAAUCAUUGCCGUCAACAACUGCAAAAGCGCUCCUAGUCUGUAUGGAAGUGAAUGUGUAGACAAACAAACACUGCAAGUAACCACAUGCAAACUC